rnacentral:sRNA from 1 species
AUGUGCCACUUGUACGCUGCAGGUCUUGCGCACCGUCUAGGCCCACCUGACGGUUGGUCGCUACAUGUCGUCAGCC